GAGUUUGAUCAUGGCUCAGAUUGAACGCUGGCGGCAUGCCUUACACAUGCAAGUCGAACGGCAGCACGGGUGCUUGCACCUGGUGGCGAGUGGCGAACGGGUGAGUAAUACAUCGGAACAUGUCCUGUAGUGGGGGAUAGCCCGGCGAAAGCCGGAUUAAUACCGCAUACGAUCUGAGGAUGAAAGCGGGGGACCUUCGGGCCUCGCGCUAUAGGGUUGGCCGAUGGCUGAUUAGCUAGUUGGUGGGGUAAAGGCCUACCAAGGCGACGAUCAGUAGCUGGUCUGAGAGGACGACCAGCCACACUGGGACUGAGACACGGCCCAGACUCCUACGGGAGGCAGCAGUGGGGAAUUUUGGACAAUGGGCGAAAGCCUGAUCCAGCAAUGCCGCGUGUGUGAAGAAGGCCUUCGGGUUGUAAAGCACUUUUGUCCGGAAAGAAAUCCUUGGUUCUAAUAUAGCCGGGGGAUGACGGUACCGGAAGAAUAAGCACCGGCUAACUACGUGCCAGCAGCCGCGGUAAUACGUAGGGUGCAAGCGUUAAUCGGAAUUACUGGGCGUAAAGCGUGCGCAGGCGGUUUGCUAAGACCGAUGUGAAAUCCCCGGGCUCAACCUGGGAACUGCAUUGGUGACUGGCAGCUAGAGUAUGGCAGAGGGGGGUAGAAUUCCACGUGUAGCAGUGAAAUGCGUAGAGAUGUGGAGGAAUACCGAUGGCGAA
rnacentral:rRNA from 1 species